UCUCAUUUGUAAUUGUCAAAAUGUGCGUGAUUACAAAAGCAUGCUUCUAUCUUUUUCUCACGCAAAAACCAACCAAAUAUUAGCAACACCGUCAACGCGAAUAUCAGCAACGCCGUAAACGCGAAUUGUUUUUCAUUACCGAGUUUAUUUUUCAUUGCCGCUAAAAUUAUCAAAAUUAUCGCGUUGAAGAAAAAAGCUAUUGUUAUUGGUUAAAUAAGUGCUCAGUGUCAAAAAUUUAUUUACUUUUCGAUGUCCGAAAAGAGAAUGAAUAAAAUUAUGAAAAUUUUUUUGGAGAGAGGCUUGCGAGAACCCGGAGAACCCUGCGCUAGCGAUUCGAAGCGAGCGACCCGGAACAUCAAAUCCAAACAGAAGACUACAACAACAACACAACGGCUAUGGAAAUAGACAGCAAUGAGGAACUUGCAAUGAGUGAAAAUGAGGCAAGAAUAAGUUUAACCGUAAAAAAGAAAAAAUCUGCUAAACGCUACGUUCAACAAUACAAAGAAGUCUGGGAAAAAGAGCAACCGUGGCUUGAGCAGCGAGGAGAAUCUGCAUACUGUAAGGUUUGUGAAUCUUCCUUGAAAUUUGAAAACGGAGGGAUAAAGGAUUCACGAACACAUCAAAGACAGGAAACUCACAAAAAGGCUGCAUCAGCAAUUUUAAACCGAAGCAAUGAUUUGAAGAAAAUGCUACCAUCAGAACUAGCAACUGUAGAUGCGUGCAUUCGAUUAUGCUUGUACGCAGUACACAAAAAUAUUUCGUUCAGAGCUAUGGACGAACUCAUACCGACAUUAAAAGCAUCCUUUCCUGAUUCAAAAAUUCUUAAUUCAGUGAGAAUGUGCCGCACGAAAGCGGCAAGAAUUAUAAUUGCAGUGACUGGAGAA